UACGAAGGGGGCUAGCGUUGCUCGGAAUUACUGGGCGUAAAGCGCACGUAGGCGGGUUCUUAAGUCGGUGGUGAAAUCCUGGAGCUCAACUCCAGAACUGCCUUCGAAACUGGGAAUCUUGGAGUCCGGGAGAGGUGGAGUGGAACUGCGAAGUGUAGAGGUGAAAUUCGUAGAUAUUCGCAAGAACACCAGUGGCGAAGGCGGCUCACUGGCCCGGUACUGACGCUGAGGUGCGAAAGCGUGGGGAGCAAACAGGG
rnacentral:rRNA from 1 species